AUUUAAAGGGACACUAUAGUCACCAAAACAACUUUAGCUUAAUUAAGUAGUUUGGGAGUGUAGAUCAAGCCCCUGCAGUCUCACUGCUCACUUCUCUGCCAUUUGGGAGUUAAAGCACUUUGUUUAUGCAGCCCUAGUCACACAUCCAUGCAUGUGACUUACACAGCCUUCCAACACUUCCUGCAAAGAGUCAUCUAAUGUUUACACUUCCUGUAUGGAAAAUACUGUUUAAUUUAGAAUUUCUUAUCUUCUGCUCUGUUAAUAGCUUUCUAUGCCCUGCAGAAGCCUCUUGUAUGUAAUUAAAGAUCAAUUUAC